rnacentral:rRNA from 1 species
UACGGAGGGUGCAAACGUUGCUCGGAAUCAUUGGGCGUAAAGCGCACGUAGGCGGACUGUUAAGUCGGACGUGAAAUCCCUCAGCUUAACUGAGGAAGUGCAUUCGAAACUGGCAGUCUUGAGUACGGGAGAGGGUCGCGGAAUUCCCGGUGUAGAGGUGAAAUUCGUAGAUAUCGGGAGGAACACCAGUGGCGAAGGCGGCGGCCUGGACCGAUACUGACGCUGAGGAGCGAAAAGCCAGGG